rnacentral:rRNA from 1 species
UCCGUGCCAGCAGCCGCGGUAAUACGGAAGGUCCGGGCGUUAUCCGGAUUUAUUGGGUUUAAAGGGAGCGUAGGCCGUUUGGUAAGCGUGUUGUGAAAUGUCGGGGCUCAACCUGGGCAUUGCAGCGCGAACUGCCAGACUUGAGUGCGCAGGAAGUAGGCGGAAUUCGUCGUGUAGCGGUGAAAUGCUUAGAUAUGACGAAGAACUCCGAUUGCGAAGGCAGCCUGCUGUAGCGCAACUGACGCUGAAGCUCGAAAGCGUGGGUAUCGAACAGGAUUAGAUACCCUGGUAGUCCACGCGGUAAACGAUGGAUGCUCGCUGUUUGCGUCUGACGUAAGCGGCCAAGCGAAAGCGUUAAGCAUCCCACCUGGGGAGUACGCCGGCAACGGUGAAACUCAAAGGAAUUGACGGGGGCCCGCACAAGCGGAGGAACAUGUGGUUUAAUUCGAUGAUACGCGAGGAACCUUACCCGGGCUUGAACUGUAGGCGAACGAUUCAGAGAUGAUGAGGCCCUUCGGGGCGCCUAUGGAGGUGCUGCAUGGUUGUCGUCAGCUCGUGCCGUGAGGUGUCGGCUUAAGUGCCAUAACGAGCGCAACCCUUGUUCGUAGUUGCCAUCGGGUUAAGCCGGGCACUCUGCGAAGACUGCCUCCGUAAGGAGUGAGGAAGGUGGGGAUGACGUCAAAUCAGCACGGCCCUUACGUCCGGGGCUACACACGUGUUACAAUGGCAUGUACAGAAAGCAGGGUGUAUGCAAAUACGCUCGAAUCCCUAAAACAUGUCUCAGUUCGGACUGGGGUCUGCAACCCGACCCCACGAAGCUGGAUUCGCUAGUAAUCGCGCAUCAGCCAUGGCGCGGUGAAUACGUUCCCGGGCCUUGUACACACCGCCCGUCAAGCCAUGAAAGCCGGGGGCGCCUAAAGUCCGUGACCGCGAGGGUCGGCCUAGGGUGAAACCGGUGAUUGGGGCUAAGUCGUAACAAGGUAGCCGUACCGGAAGGUGCGGCUG